AUAAUAGAUUUCAUCUUCAUCAUCAGUUGGGCUUGUGUGUUACUAAUGAACAAGUGGACAAUCUGGCAUGCCUUUUCUAAGGAAUGGUGGUAUAUAUUACUGAGUAUCUUCUGCAUUGUGGAAAUGCUGUAUGUAAUAUUUGCAGAGGCUAAUGAGUUCUUAACAUUAAGGAAUAAGAUGCGAAAGUGGAAGCUUUGGAGGAAAAGUCAUAUAUUACAAGACCAUAUUUAUUGCCAUCCUCAUUGGCCCCAGAAACCAACACCAUGAGCCAAUAUUGAAGAAUACAAUAAAGAAGUACCCUGCGCUACCACAAAUGAAAGCAAAAUACUGUGGAUGAUGGAAAUUUGAAGUGAAAACAUAAAGUGCUAAAAAUAUUGUAUCCUGCUCUGUUACCUUGAUGCA